CUUGGUCAUUUAGAGGAAGUAAAAGUCGUAACAAGGUCUCCGUUGGUGAACCAGCGGAGGGAUCAUUAGCGAGUUUUCAACUCCCAACCCUUGCGAACCGUACCCCGUUCUGUUCUCGUUGCUUCUGGCGGGAGGGGGGGGGGCGCGUCCUUCGGGGCGCGCCUCUCUCUCCCAGGUCCCUUCGGGGCGCCCGCCAGCGGCCGCGAGCCGCCUGAACUUUUUUUAAACCGUAACGAAACGUCUGAGAAACAAACAAAAACAGCCAAAACUUUCAACAACGGAUCUCUUGGCUCUGGCAUCGAUGAAGAACGCAGCGAAAUGCGAUACGUAAUGCGAAUUGCAGAAUUCAGCGAGUCAUCGAAUCUUUGAACGCACAUUGCGCCCGCCAGCAUUCUGGCGGGCAUGCCUGUCCGAGCGUCAUUUCCCCCCUCAGCACGCCCUUUGGGUGCGCUGGCGUUGGGGCUCCUCCGCCCUCUGUGGCGGCAGGGCCCUCAAAUCCAGUGGCGGGCCCGUCUGGUUGGCUCCGAGCGCAGUACCGAACGCAAGUUCUCUCUCUCGCUCUGCAGCCCCGGCCGGCGCCCAGCCGUCAAGCCGCGCAGGCGACCCUCUCGAGGGCCGCCUCGCAUUUUUACAAGGUUGACCUCGGAUCAGGUAGGAUUACCCGCUGAACUUAAGCAUAUCA
rnacentral:rRNA from 1 species